GCGCUCGCGCGCCGUACCGCACCCUUCGGGUGCUGGCGCUCCGCGAGGGCGCGGCACGAGCCGCGACGGCCGGUCGGCCUUGCGAGACGUGCGUCUCGUUGGCGAAAGCCGAUCAAAGGCGCAGUCUAAGGGCUUGUAGCUCAGUUGGUUAGAGCGCGCGCUUGAUAAGCGUGAGGUCGGAGGUUCAAGUCCUCCCAGGCCCACCAUCUCCUCGAUCACCAUGUUCGGGAAACACUAUCAGGGGCCGUAGCUCAGCUGGGAGAGCGCCUGCUUUGCAAGCAGGAUGUCGUCGGUUCGAUCCCGUCCGGCUCCACCAAUGCGCGAUCUCGAAGAGAUCGUCGCUUCAACUACCCUCUUGCGAGGUUGGCUAAGCGCGAUCCGAAAGGAUCGUCGAGUAGAGGCGGCGAGAAAAAACUCAUUCAAAAAAGAGUUUGCGCCGAGUUCUGGGCUCUGCUCCUGGUCUGUUUGACAGCUCAGAUAGAAAAUUUGUUCAAACUACAUGGGCUCCGAUCGGGCCAUGAUAUGUCGCAAGGAACGCUCAAUCGCUUGCCUAUGACGCGUGUGCAUAAGCGCCGUCUAACCGAUCUCGAAGCUGCUUUUUGUGCCAAU
rnacentral:tRNA from 1 species